GAUUUCCUACGGAGCAGCAGUGGGGAAUAUUGGACAAUGGGCGAAAGCCUGAUCCAGCCAUGCCGCGUGAGUGAUGAAGCCUUAGGUUGUAAGCUCUUUCGCUAGGGAAGAUAAUGACGGUACCUAGUAAAGAAGCCCGGCUAACUUCGUGCCAGCAGCCGCGGUAAUACGAAGGGGGCUAACGUUGUUCGGAUUUACUGGGCGUAAAGCGCACGUAGGCGGAUUAGCAAGUUAGGGGUGAAAUUCCGGAGCUCAACUCCGGAACUGCCUUUAAAACUGCUAGUCUAGAGAUCGGGAGAGGUGUAUGGAACUCCUAGUGUAGAGGUGGAAUUCGUAGAUAUUAGGAAGAACACCAGUGGCGAAAGCGGCACACCAGUGGCGAAAGCGACACACCAGUGGCGAAAGCGGCA
rnacentral:rRNA from 1 species